CCAGAGCAGAUACAGGUUACUGAUGAUCUCCUUAUCGGUGUGUGGCUUGGCCACUGCUGGUGAUGUCACACAUGUGAUCUCAUAGAACCUGUCGGGGCCUAUAGAAAGGGCUGCGGCCCUACAGACAGUGUCAGUCUUUGCUGGCUUGGGCUUUGGGAGUGUUCAUCACUAUGGGUUUGCCGAUUGGGAAAAAGCGAAAGCACAGUCAAGUCACCUCAGGUACCCCUACUAUGGGAGGAAGAAUAGCGCCGGCUUUACCAUCACAGCCGGCACCGGUAGCUCCAACCUCUCAGCCGGCUAUUCCAUCAAUGCCGGCUGCGGCUCCUACAUCUUACCCGGCUAUACCAUCUGCACCGGAGGACAUGGAGACUGAAGGGAGGCAGUUCCCUGAUGACGUCGACAUGUCUGAUGUGGAGCCGAAGAGGAGGCGUUUCUCGUACGACCCGGACGGGUCAUGCAUCAUGGAGGACGUCAGCUACCCCAACUGGUUAUGGAAGUGGAGGAGAUAGGAGGCGAGAUCCAUAACAUCAGUAACAUCUACAACAUCUACUACAACAUCUAAUAACAUCUAAUAACAUCUAAUAACAUCAAUAACAUCAACACCAUCUAUUGGGGACUCACUAGAGUUCCCCAAUAACAUCUAUAACAUCUGAGACCCCGAAAGACUCAUCCGAUGAGGAGACCUCGGUGUAGAAGAUCAGCGGCAGCCGCCAUAUUUGAUCCAGCCCCUUCCAGCCCCUCCGCAGAGAAGAAAGGCAUCGCCAUGCUCUGACCUCUGACAACAUUUAAUAUCUUGGGAUAUUUAUAAUAAACAUUUAUAUGUUUUUACCUUA